CAAUGCGUGGCCUAGCGGUUAGCGCUCUUGUUUUUGAAUCUCGGGUCACGGGUUCGACCCCCACCGGGGUCA